rnacentral:tRNA from 1 species
GGACGCUUAGCUCAGCUGGGAGAGCACCUGCCUUACAAGCAGGGGGUCACAGGUUCGAUCCCUGUAGCGUCC